CGCACGCCUCCGGCCGCCUUCUUUGGAGCAGGGCGCACACCGCCGGCCGCCUUCUCUGGAGCAGGGCGCAUCCUCUCCGGGCACGACGUCUUCUGGCGCCCCCUCCCCGCACCACCACCACCACCACCACGCCCUCGCCCCGUCUCCUAUCCCCAUGACGGCCUUGCCUCGCCAGCUCUUAUCCCCACCACGGCCUCGCCCCGCCGCCUCCUCUCACCACCGCGGACUUGCCUCGCCGCCAACCCCGUGGAUCUUCCCUACAUCGACUCUGCCGCCGCCAUCAUACAGCCGCAGAGCAGAUCGAGAUGCGAGCUGCUGGACACGAUGCAUGCAGGAGCAGGCAUCUUGAAUUGGACCGAGAUCUAGUGCGUCGACCUCACACAGUCGCUCCGGGAAGGAGUUCGCAGCCUACGCUCGGUUGCUGAAGGCACCUUCGCCACAUUGUCAUCCAUUUGUGAGAUGUUUCUGUUUCUCCAUGUUGGCAUGGAUGCAUUGGAUAUAGAGUAGUGGAAGAUUGUUAGCGGAACACAUACACAGCUGAUGUAUGGUGGUUGCCUUCUUGUACAUGAGCUUACGACUGCGGGAGAUCACGACUUGUUCUUUUGAUUUUUUUUGGUUCAUCACAUGAUCCAUCAAGCCAGCCAAGGCGGAGAUCAGUGAAGAGGUGAAGUAGAAAAUGGAAUCGGAAUAGGAGGCAUAUCUUCAACUGGUUUGAUGCAUGUUGGAAGAUGCUUGAAGUGGCGGUCGUAACACAGUCAGUUGGGACGACUCGUUGGCAGAGUUGUUAUUAUUAACAUUUUCAUUGUUAGAGACGACAGUAUCUGGUGUUGUUAGUGAACAUGGAACAUGAAGUGGAGUCUGAUCACUCAUUACCACAUCAACAGGUAUGCCUGCAUCAAAAUUGUAUUACCAAAGCCAGUUGCUAGCACACAAGAGCCGGUAGUAUGUUUGGAUGUAGGAGAACACAUGACCUUCCACAACUGGUGCGUGUCGUUGCUGGGUGAUAGCAGACUGCGCACUGGGCAUAUCCAUAGUGUCAAAACCUGUCCAAAGGGACUUUUAAUUAACAUGAGUUUAGCUGUGAUUAAUGAAAUGUAUGAUAAAGAACAGAGAAAAUUGAGUAACCAGGCGACAUGGCCACGGGUGGCUUAGAUGGAGUGUUGGUUUCAUUUAAAACCGCGGACAUAGCUUUCUUACUAUCCCUUGCCUCCUUUCUUUUUUUCAAUAUUGCAUCCCUGUUUAGUGCAUACCUCUCCCUUUCUCUCUGUCUCUUUAGUUCUUUUGGAUCUGUUUUUUGACCUGCGAGGCAAUGACAUAGUCGGUACUUACAUGAUAUUAGUAGCUAAGAGUAGGUGAUAUCUGUAUUUACCUGAACUGUCGUUGUUCGUCAGGUCCUGAAAGGGAUUACGUACCCCACUACGCUGAGAUCCGGACAUAUUGUCUUGUCAAUGAACACUUACUGAACCGUGCCUCAACUCAGUUUGCUAUGCAAAUCAUGAUGUACUGUACGGAAGUAGUCAGAUGUCUUGGAGAUCUGCUCGCCACCGGGGUGAUGACACCGGAUGUAAGGCAGCGCGCCGGGUCGAGGACGUCGCAGACACCGGGGAGAGGGCGG